rnacentral:tRNA from 1 species
GCCUGGAUAGCUCAGUUGAUAGAGUAUUGGACUUUUAUGGUCUGGGGGUUCAAGUCCCUGUUCAGGCA